rnacentral:rRNA from 1 species
AAUUUUCUGCCACCGAAUACAUUAGCAUGGGAUAAUGGAAUAGGACCCUGUCCUCCUAUUUUCAGUUGGUUUUGGCAGCGCGAGGACUAGGGUAAUGAUUAAUAGGGAUAGUUGGGGGCAUUAAUAUUUAAUUGUCAGAGGUGAAAUUCUUGGAUUUAUGAAAGAUUAACUUCUGCGAAAGCAUCUGCCAAGGAUGUUUUCAUUAAUCAAGAACGAAAGUUAGGGGAUCGAAGACGAUCAGAUACCGUCGUAGUCUUAACCAUAAACGAUGCCGACCAGCGAUUAGGAGACGUUGAAUACAAAACACCACCAUCGGCGCGGUCGCCCUUGGCGUUCGUGUUCACGCACGGGCGCGAGGGCGGUUUAGCCCGAUGGCACCGGUGAAUGACUCCCCUAGCAGCUUGUGAGAAAUCAUAAGUCUUUGGGUUCCGGGGGGAGUAUGGUCGCAAGGCUGAAACUUAAAGGAAUUGACGGAAGGGCACCACCAGGAGUGGAGCCUGCGGCUU